rnacentral:snoRNA from 1 species
CCUGGUGCGGUGAUGAUAAUACAGGAUCUCAUCUGAAACUGAUGAUGAAUACCUUAAUGCAUAAAUGUCUUUCGCUCCCAUCUGAGUCACCAUU